AGCCUGGCGGAGACAGCCCCCUUGGUAAUGGAAGCCCGGGAAGGGAUGCAAGGAACAGGCACACUCCCAUCAGCACAUCUGGCACGGGGUUUGGAGGACAAUUUGGUGGAAUCUCCUGGAACUUACCUGGCACUUCCACCUCUAGAGAUCUAUGCUGUGGAAAUACUUGCACAAACAGAGAGAGGUCACUGUACAAAUAUGUCCAUUGCAACAUCGAUGGUAAAACAAAGUAAUGAUGAUUGUGACAGGAGAACUCUGUCUUCCAAGCAGAGGCCAGUUAGAGAAGGAUGACGGUGCUGAGCGAGGUCUGGGCAGAAAGAAGGAACUACUGGACAGGAGAACUUCCGGGGACUGUACCAGGCAGCGUGGAGCUCUGAGCGCGGAGCAGCCUGAGGACGGAGCAGCCCAGCGAGGAGGGCUUUGGCUCAAGGUGACCUGACUUGCAGGUUGACGCUGGUGAUGGAGAGGGCUGCAGAGAGAAAGGCGACGAUCCAGGAGGAUUUCCCCUUUGCUAUGCUGCUGGCCCCUCCCCUUCACCCCCACUAAGAGAUGCUGGCACCCAUCACAGCACACGGCAGCCGAAAUGCCAGCUGGGAGGGCUGCUGUCGUAGGUCAGGUUCCCUGGAGGCUGAAGACAGGGAUUGCUGUGCCAGUGUUUCUUUGGGAGGUGCUUGUUUUAAUCUGCUCGGGCUGCUGUAACAAAAUCCAGUAGACUGUGGCUUAUAAACAACAGAAAUUCA